UCCAGGCCUAGGUUAGACAGACAGCUCCAUUUCCGACAAAUGCCAGCAGGGACGAGGCCACGACACCCAGAAACAUUGUCGCCGCGGCAGUGGAUUGGCAUUUCGGAGGAGCUUGGCUGUCUCAGUUCUGUCCAAUAAUUCAGUCUCUGAGUUGCUCACUCUCCGUUCCCUGGACAUGUUGCUGCUCUCUGCCUCCAGACAAAGCACUUCCACUGGUCAUGGAAAAAAGGUCUAAAUCCGUGUCUUCUCUGCUUACAAGUCUUGCCUGGGAGCAACGGGAGAGAAUGUAUACAAUCGUGAAACAAAAUAUGGCAUUUUCUGAAUGCAGCUCACAUUACCCCAAAUAAACAAACAGGCUCUGUCAAACAACCUUCUUCAAAAUGAUACCACAAUCCUUUAUUGCUGCCCAGGCAGAACAAAUGCACUAUGUCAAAGCAUUUUUUGCAAAUAAGAGCCGAUUUUAAAAUUGAGGUUUGCUAUUUGAGUCCAUACAACAAAAGAAAACAUUUUAGUAGAAUAAUUUUGAUGAAAAUCAAUCUUAAAGGCAACUGAUGAAACUUUAAAUAGCUUAACAUCACUUAUUUACCACAGAUAUUAUUUAAUUCUUAAUUGAAUCUUAGAAAUGCCACAUUGGAUUAUUUUCUGCAAUAUUCACAUUUUACCACUAAUAAAAUUCCCUGACAUGCCUUUCAUCCCAUAUUUGUAUUUGACAAAGCUGCAAAAGGUUUCUCUACCUUCUCAUUACAGACGGUAUUAAUAUAAAAGUACUAUACAUUGUCUCAUUUGGGGGUAAAGAUAAAUUAUAGAAAUUUCAAGAUACUUUAUUUUAAGGACAUAAAUAUUAGGUAAUUUAUUUCAUUUAAAAUCCCUCUCUGAACUUUUAUUACGAUCUUGGACUGAACUUAAGAGUUGAAAGAGUCAUUUAUUGUUUUGUAAAAAAAAAAAAAAUGUUUGUAUAAUGUCUAAUAUCAUUAAGUAAGGAUUUAUCAGGAUUCAAUCCUGAAAUGGGAGAAAAUGCCAUGAGGGAAAGCAAAACAGUCUUAAAGUAGCUGGGAUUUCACCCAAACCGCAGGAUGCUUGAAAUCCUGUGAAAAAGCACUGUCCUCAAUGUUUGAGGUGAGAGUGAUCUAAAUAGUGUAAAAUAAAGCCAUAAAGCCACCACAGUGGUUAUCAAAAAGCUGUCCCCAUAUAAUGAGCUACAGAAACACAUGAAAUCAGAACCCAAAGAUCAUUCUCUUUCAAAUUCAGAUCUUUGCUCUUCUCCUUCCCACCUUCUUCCUGCCCACAUGCAUGAAUUCUUACUGUUAGUUAAGUAAGCAAAUUUGUCAUUACAGAACUUCGAUAGUGGCAGUUAUUUUUUAAAAAAAUGUGCUUGGCUCGUUAUAAAAUUGUUUUGUCAAAAAACCUCAGUAGAAAACUGUUGAAGAUGAAAUAAAUAGCAACUGGUUUCCAAGUUGACACUUGUGAUUAGUAUAAAAA